rnacentral:rRNA from 1 species
GACGUAGGGCACGAGCGUUUGUCCGGAAUUAUUGGGCGUAAAGAGCUCGUAGGCGGCCUGUCACGUCCGCUGUGAAAUCCCGGGGCUCAACCUCGGGUCUGCAGUCGAUACGAGCAAACUAGAGUGUUGCAGGGGAGACUGGAAUUCCUGGUGUAGCGGUGAAAUGCGCAGAUAUCAGGAGGAACACCGGUGGCGAAGGCGGGUCUCUGGGGCCGAUACUGACGCUGGAGGAGCGAAAGCGUUGGGGAGCGAACAGG